GGGGAAUUUUCCGCAAUGGGCGAAAGCCUGACGGAGCAAUACCGCGUGAGGGAUGACGGCCUAUGGGUUGUAAACCUCUUUUUUCAGGGAGGAAUCAAUGACGUGUACCUGAAGAAUAAGCAUCGGCUAACUCCGUGCCAGCAGCCGCGGUAAGACGGAGGAUGCAAGUGUUAUCCGGAAUCACUGGGCGUAAAGCGUCUGUAGGUGGUCCAAUCAGUCAACUGUUAAAUCUUGAGGCUCAACCUCAAAAUCGCAGUCGAAACUAUUAGACUAGAGUAUAGUAGGGGUAAAGGGAAUUUCCAGUGGAGCGGUGAAAUGCGUAGAGAUUGGAAAGAACACCGAUGGCGAAGGCACUUUACUGGGCUAUGACUAACACUGAGAGACGAAAGCUAGGGUAGCAAAUGGGAUUAGAUACCCCAGUAGUC
rnacentral:rRNA from 1 species